AAAAGCGAAAUAAUCUCUUCUUCUUCUUCUUCUUCUCCUUCUCCUUCUGCGGAAGACGACGAUGAUCCAUCCAUGUCGAGACGAUGAGAAGCCACUCUCUAUCUCUCUCUCUCUCAGCCCUCCAUCAUCACUCAGGUGAAACCCUAAUCCGCAAGAUUGAUCGGAGCGAAGGAUCUCACGGUUUCUCAAAACCCUAAAAUCUCUGUACGGAUCGUAAUUCUUCUCGAACAUGGCGCGUCUCUUAUUCAGCCACCGCCUACUCCGCCCUUCUUCUUCUUCGGUUUCCUCUCUCUCGUAGAUCUCUCCGGUGUUCUUUGCUAUGGGUUUCACGGGAUCUUCUCUCUGUCCAAAGCGUGGGGUGCGGAUCACACACGGCAGGAGUAGCUCCGAGAUGGUUUUGAAGAAUCAACCACAGGAGAAGGUGAUCUUGUUUCCGCAUUGCCAAACAGUUUUAUAGUUGUGCGAAUCUUCAAGGGAUGUUGCAGGACAACAGUUGGCUCUUGCUCUCUACCGGUGCCUAGGACAACAGUUGGCUCUCUCGUUCAAUCUGUGUGCUCGCUGCUGGUGCAGAGGCAAACAGGUCAGAAGAAGAAGAAGAUGAAGAACCCCUUGAGGAUAAAAAGCAAGCCUCAGGAUAUUAAUCAAGUUACUCCUCCUCCUACCGAAUCAACCACAGAGGUUUUUCAAGGACACGUUUGGAAGACCUCGAUUUACAAGAACACCUCACAGCCUUCGUUCCGAGCCAGCCAAGCAAUGGCCAAGGAGAUGGCCUUUUUAGCUUUCAAUCGGAGAAGGUGAUCUUGUUUGCGCAUUGCCAAAGAGUUGAGCAGGACGACAUGAUUGACACGGCAGAACACAAACGUCGCCAGCGAGCUUAAGGUAAAGGAGGUCACCAUUCAUGGUAGAGACCAUCUGCAACUAAUUCCAUGAAUGACACCAUGAGCCGAUGUCUAAGAAGAAGAAGAAGAAAAAAGAACACCUCCAGGAUAAAGAGCCGUUAGAACCAGUAGCUACAAUAAAUACAGAGUCUGAGCGUAUUUGGAGCAUCGUCUUUUUCCCCUUGUCUGAAAUCAAAAUGGAACAGAUGUUUCCGCACUUUCAGAGGAGUGAGGACUGAUCUGAGAUUUGGUAUUGAUAAUAGGUGGGCGUUGAUUGAUUUAUUUGACUCUCUCUCGGUGAUUCAGAACACAAACGUCGCCAGCGAUCUUAAGCAGGAGUAGCUCCGAGAUGGUUUUGAAGAAUGGACAAGUUUCAUAACCAAAAUUUGUCAUCUUAAUCUGAUUUACGAGUAUCAUCAAGUGGACCACUGGAGAAGGUGGUCUUAUUUGCGCAUUGCCAAACAGUUGAGCAGUUGUGCGAAUCUUCAAGGGCUCUUGCCCGCUGCUGGUGCCGAGGACAACAGUUGGCUCUCGUUCAAUCUGUGUGCUCGCUGCUGGUGCAGAGGUAAACAGGUAAGAAGAAGAAGAAGAACCCCUUGAGGAUAAAAAGCAAGCCUCAGGAUAUUAAUCAAGUUACUCCUCCUCUUACCAAAUCAACCACAGAGGUUUUUCAAGGACACGUUUGGAAGACCUCGAUUUACAAGAACACACAGCCUCCGUUCCGAGCCAGCCAAGCAAUGGCCAAGGAGAUGGCCUUGUUAGCCUUCAAUCGGGGCCUCCUAAGCUCUCUAAACAUAAACAGAGGAUCUCUCUGGUUCUUUGUUUGCCAACUUCUCUCGUCCAAAGCGUGGGUGGGGAAUCACAGGUGGUUAUGUAAUCUAAUUCCCAAGUAUCAUCAAGCCAAUUACAGGACAAGGUGAUCUUGUUUGCGCAUUGCCAAAGAGUUGAGCAGGACGACAUGAUUGACACGGCAGAACACAAACGUCGCCAGCGAGCUUAAGGUCAAGGAGGUCAUCUUUCAUGGUAGAGACCAUCUGCAACUAAUUCCAUGAAUGACACCAUGAGCCGAUGUCUAAGAAGAAGAAGAAAAACAAACACCUCCAGGAUAAAGAGCCGUUAGAACCAGUAGCUACAAUACAGAGUCUGAGCGUAUUUGGAGCAUCGUCUUUUUCCCCUUGUCUGAAAUCAAAACGGAACAGAUGAUUACGCACUUUCGAGGAGUGAGGACUGAUCUGAGCUUUGGUAUUGAUAAUAGGUGGGCGUUGAUUGAUUUAUUUGACUCUCUCUCGGUGAUUCAGAACACAAACGUCGCCAGCGAGCUUAAGGUCAAGGAGAUCGUCGUUCAAGGUAGAGACCAGUCGAUGGACUUUAAGAAAAGCAUCAAACUGCUAGAAAGAUAGCUAGUCUUCUGACGUUUGAGGAAUCCAUACUGCACUCGGGCCAAAAAAACAAAAACCAGUCACAGUUGUCUGAAGCCGAAUGCAGUCAUCAGCAACAUGUGAAACGGGAAAGAAACGUAUCUAGCACUACCAAACUGAUUAUGGAAAGUCAAGCCACCAAAAAGAAAAAGCUAGGUGAAGGAAAAUCAAAAUAGAUUCUCAAUCCAAAACCAACAACUCUGCUGCUCCACACGGCAAAACGAGGUCUUGCUCACUCCGAAGUCUUAAGCUCAACCUGUGAAAAAGCAGUGAACAAGAA